rnacentral:rRNA from 1 species
UAGAUACCCUGGUAGUCCACGCCGUAAACGAUGGAUACUAGCUGUUGGGAUUUAUCUCAGUGGCUAAGCGAAAGUGAUAAGUAUCCCACCUGGGGAGUACGUUCGCAAGAAUGAAACUCAAAGGAAUUGACGGGGGCCCGCACAAGCGGUGGAGCAUGUGGUUUAAUUCGAUGAUACGCGAGGAACCUUACCAAGGCUUAAAUGUAGAUUGACAGGACUGGAAACAGUUUUUCCUUCGGGCAAUUUACAA